rnacentral:tRNA from 2 species
AAAGAUAUAGUAUAACUUUAAUACAUUUCAUUUACACUGAAAAUAUACUUAAGAUAUAAGUUGUCUUUA